rnacentral:rRNA from 1 species
GACGAACGCUGGCGGCGUGCCUAAUACAUGCAAGUAGAACGCAGUUGCGAACGGGUGAGUAACGCGUAGGUAACUGCCUCAUCGCGGGGGAUAACUAUUGGGAACGAUAGCUAAUACCGCAUACUGUGAGCUGGACCUGCGUUGUAUUAGCUAGUUGGUGGGGUAAAGGCUCACCAAGGCGACGAUACAUAGCCGACCUGAGAGGGUGAUCGGACACAAUGGGACGGAGACACGGGCCAGAAUCCUACGGGAGGGAGCAGGAGGGAAACAUCGGAAAUGGACGGAAGGCGUACCAAGCAACGCCGGGGGAGUGAAGAAGGUUUUCGGAUCGGAAAGCUCUGUUGUUAGAGAAGCGGUAACUAAACAGAAAGGGACGGCUAACUACGUGCCAGCAGCCGCGGUAAUAC